AAGUCGUAACAAGGUUUCCGUAGGUGAACCUGCGGAAGGAUCAUUUUUGGUUUUUUCAAACAAGCUUCGAGUUUUGAAGACUCGCAAGUUAGUUAACUGAACACGUAUUUAGAACACGGCAUUGUCUGAACAAUUAAAUUAAUACACGAAUAACUUUCAACAACGGAUCUCUAGGCUCUU
rnacentral:misc_RNA from 1 species